rnacentral:rRNA from 1 species
UACGUAGGGUGCAAGCGUUGUCCGGAAUUAUUGGGCGUAAAGAGCUCGUAGGCGGCCUGUCGCGUCGGAUGUGAAAGCCCGGGGCUUAACCCCCGGGUCUGCAUUCGAUACGGGCAGGCUGGAGUGUGGUAGGGGAGAUCGAAUUCCUGGUGUAGCGGUGAAAUGCGCAGAUAUCAGGAGGAACACCGGUGGCGAAGGCGGAUCUCUGGGCCAUUACUGACGCUGAGGAGCGAAAGCGUGGGGAGCGAACAGG